CUCAGAGCCGCUCAACGCGAGUCACAGCCCCCUCCGCUGCUCCUCUCGAGUAGGAUAUUUUCUCGCAGAAAAAGAAAGGAUAAUAAAAGGUUUCCUUUCUCCAAACUUUUAAAGAACAAAUAAAGAAAUCCAAUUUCAUGCA